rnacentral:rRNA from 1 species
UACGGGGGGAGCAAGCGUUGUUCGGAUUUACUGGGCGUAAAGGGCGCGUAGGCGGCUUAACAAGUCACUUGUGAAAUCUCCGGGCUUAACUCGGAACGGCCAAGUGAAACUGUCAAGCUAGAGUGCAGAAGGGGCAAUCGGAAUUCUUGGUGUAGCGGUGAAAUGCGUAGAUAUCAAGAGGAACACCUGAGGUGAAGACGGGUUGCUGGGCUGACACUGACGCUGAGGCGCGAAAGCCAGGGAGCAAACGGG